rnacentral:rRNA from 1 species
UACGUAGGGCGCAAGCGUUUGUCCGGAAUUAUUGGGCGUAAAGAGCUCGUAGGCGGUUUGUCGCGUCUGCUGUGAAAACCCGAGGCUCAACCUCGGGCCUGCAGUGGGUACGGGCAGACUAGAGUGCGGUAGGGGAGAAUGGAAUUCCUGGUGUAGCGGUGGAAUGCGCAGAUAUCAGGAGGAACACCGAUGGCGAAGGCAGUUCUCUGGGCCGUAACUGACGCUGAGGAGCGAAAGCGUGGGGAGCGAACAGG